UACAGAGGGUGCUAGCGUUAAUCGGAAUUACUGGGCGUAAAGCGUGCGUAGGCGGUGGCGUGAGUCAGAUGUGAAAGCCCCGGGCUCAACCUGGGAAUUGCAUUUGAGACUGCUCUGCUCGGGUGCGGAAGAGGGAAGCGGAAUUUCCGGUGUAGCGGUGAAAUGCGCAGAUAUCAGGAGGAACACCAAUGGCGAAGGCAGCUCGCUGGGACGGUACUGACGCUGAGACGCGAAAGCGUGGGGAGCAAACAGG
rnacentral:rRNA from 1 species